rnacentral:rRNA from 1 species
GACGAACGCUGGCGGCGUGCUUAACACAUGCAAGUCGAACGGAAAGGCCCUGCUUUUGUGGGGUGCUCGAGUGGCGAACGGGUGAGUAACACGUGAGUAACCUGCCCUUGACCUUGGGAUAACUUUAGGAAACUGGGGCUAAUACCGGAUAGGAGCUCCUGCUGCAUGGUGGGGGUUGGUAAGUUUCGGCGGUUGUGGCUGGUCUCGCGGCUUAUCCGCUUGUUGGUGGGGUAGUGGCUUUCCAAGGCUGUGACGGGUAGCCGGCCUGAGAGGGUGACCGGCCACAUUGGGACUGAGAGACGGCCCAGACGCCUACGGGAGGCAGCAGUGGAGAAUAUUGCACAAUGGGCGGAAGCCUGAUGCAGCAACGCCGCGUGCGGGAUAACGGCCUACGAGUUGUAAACCACUUUCGCCUGUAACGAAGCGUGAGUGACGGUAAUGGGUAAGGAAGCACCGGCUAACUACGUG